rnacentral:rRNA from 1 species
CAAUAAGCGGAGGAAAAGAAACUAACAAGGAUUCCCCUAGUAACUGCGAGUGAAGAGGGAAAAGCUCAAAUUUAAAAUCUGGCGGUUUCACCGUCCGAGUUGUAAUUUAGAGAAGUGCUACCCGUGCUGGACCGUGUACAAGUCUCUUGGAAUGGAGCGUCGUGGAGGGUGAGAAUCCCGUACAUGACACGGACUCCCAGGACAUUGUGGUGCGCUCUCGAAGAGUCGAGUUGUUUGGGAAUGCAGCUCAAAAUGGGUGGUAAAUUCCAUCUAAAGCUAAAUAUUGGGGAGAGACCGAUAGCGAACAAGUACCGUGAGGGAAAGAUGAAAAGAACUUUGGAAAGAGAGUUAAACAGUACGUGAAAUUGCUGAAAGGGAAACGCUUGAAGUCAGUCGCGUUGUGCGGGAUUCAACCUUGCUUUUGCUUGGUGUACUUCCUGUAUAACGGGUCAGCAUCAGUUUUGACCGGUGGAUAAGGGUGUAGGGAAUGUGGCAUCUUCGGAUGUGUUAUAGCCUUGCAUCGCAUACAUCGGUUGGGACUGAGGAACUCAGCACGCCGCAAGGCCGGGUUUUUACCACGUUCGUGCUUAGGAUGCUGGCAUAAUGGCUUUAAUCGACCCGUCUUGAAACACGGACCAAGGAGUCUAACAUGCCUGCGAGU